rnacentral:pre_miRNA from 1 species
AGUGGAUUUGCUGGGUUAUAUGGUAACUUUAUGCUUAACAUUUUUGAGGAACUGCCAAACUGUUUUCCAAAGUGGCUGCACCAUUUUAUAUUCCCAAGAGCAGU